AUGGCCGUGCGCAACCUCGCCGCGGCAGAGGCCGUGCGCCAGGUCGUCCUUGCCGAGACCCCCGUCGCCAGCCUCAACCUGAUAGAGCUGGACCUCUCCCCACUGACCUCCAUCCGCAACUUCGCCGCCAACUUCGCCGACAGGGGCCUACCGCUGAACAUCCUCAUUUGUUUUGCGCAUUGUCUUGUAUUGCCUUCCCUGGUAGCUCAUAGCCUGGGAGAUAGGAUGCAGAAAUUGGAUGAAGAUGAUCACAUUGUUCCUCUUUCCAUAAUCCUUCAUAUUUUCUGCGUGCUGCUAUCAACUGAAUUUAAUCAUCUUUCUUUGAUGACAAUUCAACAUACCCCUGCCCUUUCGGAGAGGGAAGGUUUCCCACUCAUGGACACCUAG
rnacentral:rRNA from 1 species